rnacentral:piRNA from 1 species
UGCACACCCAUACACCAAACUCUUCCC